AGACCCUCCCCCCACCAGUCCACCACCCCUUCUUCAUCUCUCUGAACUCCUUGGCCAACCAACCCCCUUCUAUAAAUCCAUUACAUAAAACCCACCUUCUACUCUUUCUUGACCAAUCCAUCCCAUCUCCUCAAACUUCUACCUGUUAAAAAAAUAUGGGAAGGGCUCUGUUUGUUCUGGCACUUCUCCUUUUUGUCUGCUCAGCCAAGCAGCACGGCCUGAGCCCAUGGAUCCAAGGACCAACCAAGUAGAGGCUGUGGAGGAGGCCAGUUUGGAUGAAGGGUGUGGUGGAGUUGGCGAGGAGGAAUGCUUGAUAAGGAGGACCCUUGUGGCUCACACUGACUACAUCUAUACCCAAGGGAAGAAACCCUGAUGGUAGGAAGGACUAGUUGGGAUCAUCCACAAAAAAAAAAAAAGGAGGACUAGUUGGGCUAUUUUAGUUCUCUGAUUUUGCUUUUCAAUGUGGUGCUUAUUCUAUGUAUAACUUUUUAGUUCUAUAGUAUAAUGAUUGUAUGUUAAUUUGUUAAAAGGAUUUCUUUUGUUCCAAUGAGUAUGGAUUGGAGGGUUUUUCUGGAGACUUAGAUAGCAAACAAGAAAAUCAGCAUGGAAUCAAGACUUUGUGGAUUUAAAUGAAUAUUGCAAAAACAUUGAAAGCAAACAAGAAAUAAGCAUGCAAUCAAGUCCACCCAUAACCCUCGAAAAACCACUGUUUUCUUUUUUUCUUAUCUCUAUUUCUUUCAUUUGGGAAUAGGGUCUCUAAUUUUGCCUAGAGUUCAUAAAAGAUCAUGACUGAAGGUGUCAUCUGUUGAUCUUUUUGGAAAACCUGAAGACUGACCUCACAGUCUCACUAAUGAUCAAGAUAUUAAGUGGUUAUAUGGAUUAUAAAAAGCCCAGUGCAGACGAAAUGAAAUCUAAUCAGGUUUAAGAAGUCUCUCUGUUUUUUUUUUCUUUCUUUUCUUUACAAAAAAUUUAUAUGGUAGCUUUUUAAGUCCUUUUAUUUUUUUUGUCUUAAAAAAAGAUGAUGGUUAGUUUUAUGAUCAUGGUUUUCAUCAAAAAAACCAAAAAGGAAGAUCAUAUUAAUUUUAUUGCCAGCAGGUGAAGAGGUAAGAAUUAAACCUCCUCUCUUGAAUACCACACGAUUACAUCCAUCUUGUUACGUCCUAAUUAGUUGACUUUGUAAACCUCUCUCUCCUAAAUUCCUACAUGUUCUAGAAUCAAUUGAAGGAUGGGGGUGACCUUCUUUUUCUUCUUUCUUGCCUUAUUAUUGCGGAGGAUUUGAUAGCAAGACAGGUCUAUGAUAGGAAGGUGAAUGAUAAAAUAUUUUGCCCAAUGGCGUGGUCUCUCUUGGAUCUCAUAAAUCUUUGUCUCAAAAGAUACAACUUGUCCCUUGGUUUUGAUGAGCUAUAAUCAGCUUAUUUGGAGCAAUAUCCAUAUGAUUCUUUUAAAGCCUCCUUCCUAUGACCUUGAAGAAGUCCAAAAAGAAUCAAGACAGCAACCUUAAAGAGGCACACGUGCCGUGCAGUUGUCCGAUGGGAGUUCUACUAGAUAAUUUGACCAAUAUAUGACCCUAAUGUCAUAGGUUCCAUAGGAUAACGAGCAGCAGCCCGACAAUGAUGAUUGACCCAACAAUUAUGAAUUAAAGGAGAAGUAUUUCUUUUCAAAAUAUGUAUGCAGACAAGCCAUGGAGGUGGCCUUCCAGAGCUUUUGACAAAGCAAGGCAGAUAGCAUUUGGCCUUCUGGGAGAUCUCAAGUCAGGAUUCCAAGGAUGGCCUCGGUCAAUUCCUCAAAAUGGAGGCCACCAAUGUCCAAACCACUAGAGAAAUGAAAGCACCAAAGCAUGGUAAUGGAGGCAGAAAAGAUAUCAUCCAAUGGACCGCUAUGUCCAGAUUCAGUGGUCCUCCAGGCUGAGUGCCGGUUGCUAUAUUGGAGGGCCUGUUAUGGUGCCAAGGCGAUAAGAUUUGAAGAUUUGGCAGAGGAUAGUGGGAACACCCUAAAAGCCACUUGGUAGGCUUAAUGUAUUGCGAUUUCUAGACUAUUUUAACUUGAACACUGGCGUGCCAUAGCUGUGAUGUCAUCCUCUGGCUAGGGCUGCCAAAUGAGCUGGCCGUGCAUGGAUCUCCAAUCUAAUAUAUAUGAAAGUAGAAACUAAAACAAAGUACGAUAGCAAUUUAAGCUA